rnacentral:rRNA from 1 species
UUACCGAGUUUUCGAGCUUCGGCUCGACUCUCCCACCCUUUGUGAACGUACCUCUGUUGCUUUGGCGGCUUCGGCCGCCAAAGGACCUUCAAACUCCAGUCAGUAAACGCAGACGUCUGAUAAACAAGUUAAUAAACUAAAACUUUCAACAACGGAUCUCUUGGUUCUGGCAUCGAUGAAGAACGCAGCGAAAUGCGAUAAGUAAUGUGAAUUGCAGAAUUCAGUGAAUCAUCGAAUCUUUGAACGCACAUUGCGCCCCUUGGUAUUCCGGGGGGCAUGCCUGUUCGAGCGUCAUUACAACCCUCAAGCUCUGCUUGGAAUUGGGCACCGUCCUCACUGCGGACGCGCCUCAAAGACCUCGGCGGUGGCUGUUCAGCCCUCAAGCGUAGUAGAAUACACCUCGCUUUGGAGCGGUUGGCGUCGCCCGCCGGACGAACCUUCUGAACUUUUCUCAAGGUUGACCUCGGAUCAGGUAGGGAUACCCGCUGAACUUAAGCAUAUCAAUAAGCGGAGGAAAAGAAACCAACAGGGAUUGCCUUAGUAACGGCGAGUGAAGCGGCAACAGCUCAAAUUUGAAAGCUGGC